rnacentral:lncRNA from 1 species
UUGGGGUUAGUUCAUGGUUCGCUGUCAUUGGCUUGUUAAAGCUUCGGAUUCCACGCCAAACCCCAUUAAUCGAGUCUCCACCCUUCCUUUAAGAAAUCCUGUUACAGUCUCAAAGCAAUCACACUUUCAAAACAAAUCCUCCCAAUUUCUCGUAACAAUGUUGCCGCAAGGAGGAUUGAUUCCUAAUUCCACCGCGACAACACAGCCGUCGAUGCUUCGAACCUGCACGAAAUCGUGGCCUUGCCUCCACCUUCCGCCGCCGCCGCACGAAAUCGUGGCCUCGCCUCCACCUUCCGCCGCCGCCGUCCACGACGCUCCGGCGAUCGCUCCAUCCGCCGUCGCAUUUGCAAUCGCCACCUUCCUGGAGCCGCCGACGAAGCACUGCCACCUCCGCACUUUUUGAUAUCAAAGGUGGAACACGGUACUUUCUGUGUAGAUACCUUUCGGUUAAUAACUUUUUUGCGUAUACGCUACUUUCUUCUUCUUCUUUCGAUUUAACGGUGAAUUCAGGCUGAUUUCGUGGUCGUAAUCGGGGUAUCCAAUCGAUUUCUCUGCCUUGACAGGA